UUUUAUUUUUACAGGUAUUUUUAUCAUCCCAGUUAAAAAACUAAAAUUCCCUGUAAUAUAUAAGCAUAGAAAGACCGCAUAAACAGAAGAUUAUCACAGUAGUUUGUUCGAUUCUCGUAGUCAACUCGUUCUGUUAUAGGCCUAACAGUGCUUGGAUUAUUUAGCUGUUCUAGAACUUAUCAACAGCUACAAAGAUGUCACAUAAAUUAUCAAGCAUUUGUCGUGAAUGGUAUGCUCUUAAGGUGCCAGGACCAACGGAUACAAGAAUUAAUCUAACGAAUCUUACUGUUGUAGUGGAGAGAAUUCCAAAAUGGAUACCAUCAGAACCAACGGGUCAUUUGAAACAUUCAACACAAAGAUCGCUUUCAGUGGACUAUGGAUCAACCCAAUCAGUGUCAAGUGAGAUACAGGUUGAAAGAGAUGUGGUUGAAAUUGAGCAGGUCACCUGUACAACCUACUUAAAAUUAUAUUUCCUUAAAUUUAGAAUUAUGAAAUUACAAAUUGUACAAAAUGUGUUAAAAAUUAUAUGUGUACAUUUAACUCACUAAAAUAAUUUUAAUAGUAGUUUUUUAUAUUAAGAAUUAUAAUAAUGUACAUUUAAUUUGUCUAAUGUAAAAUAAUUAUGUUACAAAAGUUCCAGAACUCAUAGUUGAUCCAGUACUGACACUUCCUUUAAGAACAAGUACACAGACAAUUACUGUCAAUUUGAGUCGUCCAGAGAGCUCCAGCAUCAAACAGAAACCAGCACAAUGUGUACAAGUGAAGAAAACUUGUUAUGGAAAACAAAGAGCAACUGCAACAAUCAAAUCGCCAGAAUGGUUUUACACAGGUCGAUUCACUUGCUGCCUAAGAGUAUCUGGUAAAGUGAUAUUUGGAUCAGGUUAUGAACAACGUAUUGGAGAAAUUAUUCGUGAACUCCAGGAAUGGGUUGCUCAGGAAGAAAUUGAACUAGAGAAAAUGAGUGCUCUAUGGAUGACUCCCCGCCAAAAGAGUGAUCUCCAGGAAAAGAUAGCUCUCAAGGAAAAGAUCAACAGUAUGGUUAACAUGUUUACCUUGAAUAAAAACGUUUAUUAUAAAAAUGAUCGUAUACGUUAUAGAUUAGACGCGCUCUGGACAAUUGAAGGCGAGGUGGAGAAACGAUGGAAAGCUGAGCACACAGUAUCAUGGAGUUAAAUUGCUCAAAAUAUCGUUUGUUAGGUUAUUUUUUGUAUUUUUUUCUUUCCAACACUUUACGACAGGGGACAAUUAAUUUUCAUU